CCUACGGGUGGCAGCAGUGAGGAAUAUUGGUCAAUGGGCGGGAGCCUGAACCAGCCAAGCCGCGUGAGGGAAGAAGGUACAGCGUAUCGUAAACCUCUUUUGUCAGGGAACAAAGGCGGGGACUAGUCCCCGGAUGAGGGUACCUGAAGAAAAAGCAUCGGCUAACUCCGUGCCAGCAGCCGCGGUAAUACGGAGGAUGCGAGCGUUAUCCGGAUUUAUUGGGUUUAAAGGGUGCGCAGGCGGCCUGUUAAGUCAGCGGUAAAAGCCCGGGGCUCAACCCCGGCGAGCCGUUGAAACUGGACGCCUUGAGUUCACAACAGGCAGGCGGAAUUCGUGGUGUAGCGGUGAAAUGCAUAGAUAUCACGAGGAACCCCGAUUGCGAAGGCAGCCUGCCGGGGUGCGACUGACGCUGAGGCUCGAAGGUGCGGGUAUCAAACAGGAUUAGAUACCCUUGUAGUC
rnacentral:rRNA from 1 species